GGGUAGUUGGCUGAGUCCGGUUUAAAGCAUUGCUCUUGAAAAGCAACGAGGAGUCAAAUCCUCCGUGGGUUCAAAUCCCACACUGCCCU
rnacentral:tRNA from 2 species